AACGGACGCUGGCGGCAUGCCUAACACAUGCAAGUCGAACGGGAUCCUAGCUUGCUAGGUGAGAGUGGCGGACGGGUGAGUAACACGUGGGAAUCUGCCUUUUGGUUCGGGAUAACCGCGGGAAACUGCGGCUAAUACCGAAUGCCCUCGAGAGAGGAAAGAUUUAUCGCCAGAAGAGGAGCCCGCGUCCGAUUAGGUAGUUGGUGGGGUAAAGGCCUACCAAGCCGACGAUCGGUAGCUGGUCUGAGAGGAUGAUCAGCCACACUGGGACUGAGAUACGGCCCAGACUCCUACGGGAGGCAGCAGUGGGGAAUAUUGGACAAUGGGGGCAACCCUGAUCCAGCAAUGCCGCGUGAGUGAUGAAGGCCUUAGGGUUGUAAAGCACUUUUGCCAGGGAAGAUGAUGACUGUACCUGGAGAAUAAGCCCCGGCUAACUUCGUGCCAGCAGCCGCGGUAAU
rnacentral:rRNA from 1 species